GCCGGGCUUGGUGGUGCACGCCUGUAAUCCUGAGGCUUAGGAGGCUGAGGCAAGAGUCUUGAGAGUUCAAAGCCAGCCUCAGCAAAAGCAAUGCCCUAAGCAACUCAGUGAGACCCUGUCUCUA
rnacentral:sRNA from 1 species